rnacentral:rRNA from 1 species
UGCCAAGUUGAGCGGUAAGGCCCCUUCGGGGGUACACGAGCAGCGAACGGGUGAGUAACGCGUGGGUAAUCUACCUAUGAGGUGGGGGAUAGCCCCGGGAAACCGGGGGUAAUACCGCAUAUGUUCCGUAUGACAUAAGUCACUCGGUGGAAAGACGGGGAUCUUCGGACCUGUCGCCUCUAGAUGAGCCCGCGUCCGAUUAGCUAGUUGGUGAGGUAAUGGCUCACCAAGGCAUCGAUCGGUAGCCGGCCUGAGAGGGUGAACGGCCACAUUGGGACUGAGACACGGCCCAGACUCCUACGGGAGGCAGCAGUGGGGAAUUUUGGGCAAUGGGGGAAACCCUGACCCAGCGACGCCGCGUGGAGGAUGAAGGCCUUCGGGUUGUAAACUCCUGUCAGGUGGGAAGAAGAGCCACGUGGUUAAUAGCCACGAGGAAUUGACGGUACCACCAAAGGAAGCCCCGGCUAACUCCGUGCCAGCAGCCGCGUAAUA